rnacentral:rRNA from 1 species
GCGAAAGCGAGUCUGAAUAGGGCGAUGGAGUUCGACGCAUUAGACCCGAAACCCGGCGAUCUAGGCAUGACCAGGAUGAAGGUGCGGUAACACGCACUGGAGGUCCGAACCGAUUAACGUUGAAAAGUUACCGGAUGAGUUGUGUUUAGGGGUGAAAGGCCAAUCAAGCCGGGAAAUAGCUGGUUCUCCGCGAAAACUAUUGAGGUAGUGCCUCGGACGAACGCCGAUGGGGGUAGAGCACUGGAUGAGUGAGGGGGUCGCGAGAUCUACCGAGCUUAACCAAACUCCGAAUACCAUCGAGUAAUAUC